AGCCAGCACAAGCCCGCAAAUUGCAGGCUUCAAACACUGAGCUAUAUAUUUCAUACGUAAUUCUAAUGCAUAACUUCAAUAAGACACGGGAUGGGCUCCCUGUGUUUGAGUGGGCGAAUUUUCGAUUCGAAAUACUGCUGCAGACGGAUCGACGAUUGUAAGUAGUUUGCCUUUAUCAUGUAGGCCUAGUAUCUAUGUAUCCUAGUGCCAUCGAGUGCAAAGCAGCAGAAAAUAUUAGUCCAACAAAAGAGGAAUAAAAGAACACACACUAUCAAGUAGGCAAGUCAAUUUCAUUUUAAAAUUUAUAUUUUAUGACAUACUUUUACUAUAAUAUACAUCACUAUAACUAUAUUAAACUAUAAGUCUAUACUGACUCUUGCGAGAUUGGACCGCCUGUAGCGUCCCAUGUUAACGUCGCUAGUAAUUUUCCAAACAUUUGAUCUACACAGUUUUUACUCGACAACGAACACAAC